GCUGCCUGCCACGGAGCAGGGUUUCAGCAAGUAUUUGCUGGAUGAGUGAGAGGCUAAGUGGAUGAAUAAAGAUCUAAGUCAGAGUCAAGCUAGGAAUAGUCCGCACCUCAAGGCUCUACCAGCACUAGGAAAGGGUCUACCCAGAGACUGCAGAAGAGAUGAGCCUACAUGAAGAUAUUCAAGGAGACCCAGGGAAGGUGUCUAAGAGGCUGUGAAAGCAUGAAGUCACACGGGCCAUGGCUGUCAGCAGAGGAGCUUCUAGAGGCCACCAGCAUUCCUGGACUUGUGACUUCUUGCAUCUCCAAAGCCAAUAAAGACUGAUCCAGUAUUUCUCACACCUCAUCACUCUGACCUUCUCUGCUGCUCCUCUUUCACUUUUUAAAAUAUAUAUGUAUGUUUGACUGCACUGGGUCUUAGUUGUGAAACGUGGGCUCUUUGUUGUUGCAU